UCAUAUAUAUUCCAAAAAUAAUUUUCUUUAAAAACUCAUUUCUCAGGCUUGGGAUCUCGAAAUUUGAUUAUGGGUAUACGCCCAAGUUCCAUAUUUUCCUACGAACCCUCCGGGGUCAAUAAAUUACGGGUCCAAAUCUGUUUACCUAAAAUGUUAACCGAAGUCAGCUUAAAUUUAUUUUAAAAGUAAAAUUUAUUAUUAUUUUUAUAAAUUUUCACAUAAUUGCUUUCCGGAUAUACGCCCGGCCUGUGCGUGAAAAUCGAGGUGAGAUAAAAAGGACCUUUUAAGGCCUCGAAAUACAUAAUAUAUUUCUAAAACCGGCGAGUCAUCACCAGUGAUCUUCUACCGGUACGUGCGGAGAUUCAAGCGGGUACGUACUGGGAUUCAAGCGGUGAUAUCCGGUUGGGCACGGAUAUCAUAGUCCUUUGUUAGUCGUGUUCGAUUAUGUGAUAACGUUCUCCGAAGUUUAGGGAUUCGAAUCUAACGUGAUCCCGAUUCGUCCCGAGGGCAUGUGUUUUGCCCGGACCUCGAUUUGAGGGGCUCCUUGCCUCCAUCCAGUUCCUUACUAUCACAUUUCUGCUCUGUUUACUUCAUCGAUAAUCAAGGCGCUCAAAGGGCUCGAUUUCACCGAUACAUAUUCUUAUCUUUUGUAUUUAGAUGUUAGAUGUUACUUGACCCACGAUGUAAUUACGAAUUACGUUUAUUUGUUGGAAGAUAUCAUAUUAUUCAACUAUUAUUGCGUUACAAAUGUAAUUAAUACACUUUACACUUAUGCAUGUACUUUUGAUUUGAUAGUUUGCUUGAACUCGAACGUCUUUACUUAAUGUGUAGUUGCUCGCUAUAUGCCGGUCAUGCGCAGUGACGGAGCCACAGUAUAGCAAGGGUUCAUAUACGAUAUCCUUUGUCCAAAUAAUUUAUUUAUUAUUAGUAUAUUACAAAUGAAAAAAAAACGCAUGAUAAAACAGGGGAACGAAAUCUUAAUAUAGCCUAUUUUUAUAAAAGUUAAAUUCUUGUAAUGAAAUCUCUAACUUCGCCACCGGUCAUGAUUCUUCUGAAUUUGAGUCAUGACACUCCGCCCAAAGUUGAGUUGUUCACAAAAAAUUCAUCUUAUACUUUUUAAUUUCAUUUCUCUAAUUACUUACGAUUAAAACACAAAUUAACUGCAGAAACAAUUAUUCACCUUGCUUUCUUUUUUCUUUUUUGUUAAAUCUUUAUGCACUCAAGAACAAUUAUUCACCUGUUUUUUAAAAAGAAUUAAUAAGCUUUAAUAUUUUCUUAAAUGUGAGACAUUUUUUUUUGAUGAAUUACUCAACAGAGAUAUUGGCAUAAACAAGCAAAUCCCCAACGAGUUGAUAUCCACUCACACUGUCCAGAGGGAUAUCCUUCGUUAUUGCAAUUUUUCUCACACAUAACAUUGCCCAUGAAAUGUAGAACUAAAUACCUCACAAAUACCAUUCUCCACUGCAUUAAUAUCUGCACCCACAAAAAUAAAAAAAAUAAAAAAUGAAAGAGAAAAAAAGCAAAGUGAAAUUUGUUAAUAGCACUUUAACGAGUAUAAAUUUAAUUUUAGCAGGCUGUCACAUACUUCAACAUAUUAUUAGAGUAUACAGAUAGUCAGAAUUCUCGGGUACUCUCAUUGAAAAACACACACAUAUUGUGCCAGGUCUUUUGAGUAAUAUAUUUGGAAAUAUCUCUUGAUACCUUAUCAACACUGUUUCGAAUACAACUAGUACAUUUCAAAAUUAUUGUUAUUAGAACAUUUUUCCUUGACGAUGAACCUCCUUUGGAUUUUUGAUUUACUCAAUUCUUUUAUUUUCGGUUCAAAACAAAAAAAAGAAUAAAAUAGAAGUUACUAACUUGAAAUCCAAUUCUACUAAGCAGGGUGUCGUUUAGUUCAAGAUAUUAGGUAUGUUAUUUGGUGUAAAUUGGUAUUAAUUUGUCUCGUGGUUGGUCAAUUGGAGCUAUUUGCUAAAAUUUAUAUUCUAUAUUUUUAUACCCAAAACUUGGUAUGAGCUAUCCUAUAUAGAAGGUAUAUGAUAAUUCCAUCAAUCAAACAAAAGUUAGUCCAUAAAAUUAUGGUCACAUAAGCCCUUAAAAAAACAAACAAACAAACAACAACCCAAUAAAAUUCCACAUAGUAGGGUCUGGGGAGGAUAGUAUGUACGCAGACCUCACCUCUAACCCAGAGGUAGAGAGGCUGUUUCCAAAAAGACCCGCGGCAUCCUUCCUUCCAAGAACUUCCCACCUUGCUCUUGGGAAGACUCGAACUCACAACCUCUUCAAAUGAUACAGUAAUGGAAACAUUUUAUUUAUUGAACCUUGGUGAACUUGGUAACAAUGAGGGGCAAAGUCAAUUAUAAUCAUGUUCCUAGAUGAAUCUCUUUUGAGGUCCAUUACUUGGUCAGUAUUGGAGCCACAUUUCUUGCCUCGUCAUCUGAUUCAGAAUGUUAAUAAUUUCGAUGAGUUAAGCCAUGCAGAUCAACAACAACAACAAUUCAGUACAAUCUCACUUAGUGGAAUCUGGAGAGGGUAGUGUGUACGCAGACCUUACCCCUACUCUUGGGUAGAGAUGCUGUUUCCAAAUAGACCUCCGGCAUCAUUCCUUCCGAACUUCCCACCUUGCUCUUGGGAAGACUCGAACUCACAAACUCUCGAUUGGAAAUGGGGGUUGCUUACGAUAAGCCCUUAAAAAAACAUGUGUCAAUAUUUCCUGGCUCGAAUUCAAGAAUGAUCUACGUGGAGAUAUUCUUCUUUGGAGGGAGUCUUGGCGUAACUGGUAAAGUUGCUGCAAUAUGACCGAGAGGUUACGGGUUCAAGCCGUGAAAACAGCUUCUUGCAUAAAUGCAGGAAAAUACUGGAUACGAUAGAUCAUUGGUCGUAUAGCGAAAGCUUAAUGAACCAAACUGUCUUUUUAUUUUUUUUAUGGUGAUUGUGGAAAGCGAAAUUGUCCUCCAAAUGAAUCCGUGAAGUCAUAAUUCGAAUUAUAAUCCCAGGACUAUAAUCUCGGAAUAUCCCGAUUUUAAACCAGAUGACCACUAAAGUUAUCCCUUGGGUGAACCUGGGAUUAAUUAUAGGACCAAAACAAUUGAUUUCAAUCUUAUUCUAAACUCACCGUUUGACGUUACGAGGAGUAGGCUAAAAAGUAUCAUCAAAACCCUAGAGAAGCAAACAUGAGAUUCAGACAUAUUAAAAGUUCUCUCUAUAUAAAUAUCAAAAUAAAGAG
rnacentral:lncRNA from 1 species